UACGAAGGGGCUAGCGUUGCUCGGAAUUACUGGGCGUAAAGCGCACGUAGGCGGUCUUUAAGUCGGGGUGAAAUCCUGGAGCUCAACUCCAGAACUGCCUUCGAUACUGGAAGACUUGAGUCCGGGAGAGGUGAGUGGAACUGGCGAGUGUAGAGGUGAAAUUCGUAGAUAUUGCAAGAACACCAGUGGCGAAGGCGGACUCACUGGCCCGGUACUGACGCUGAGGUGCGAAAGCGUGGG
rnacentral:rRNA from 1 species